CAUUUCAACCAUAACCAUCCCUCCGGUUCUCGUCCGAUCACCGAAGUUAAGCAACAUCGAGCCUGGUGAGUACUUAGAUGGGUGACCGCUUGGGAAACCUAGGUGCCGUAAGCG
rnacentral:rRNA from 1 species